AUUUGAAGUAGCUUUACGCAGGAGGAAAAUUUUGCAAAAUGCCACCAUUUGAUGGUUCUUAUUUCUGUAUUUGCCUAGCUCAAGAGGGGCAAACUUCUUCUAAAUCAAGUUAUGUCUGUAUUUGCGUUUUAUCUCAACAAAGUGUUAGCAUGCGACUUAUUAUGUACAACUGAAAAGAAAAAAAAAACCGUUAACUUAUGAGCCAAGCUGAUACAACUGUAGGGUACAAUUGAAUAAUUAUUACAAAAUUCAAGAUAUAUUAGAGCAUUAAUCCACGUUUUUAUUGUUCAGAAACAAUUUGGUUUAGGAGCUUGACAAUUUUAUGUUUAUCCAUUUACUUUUACUGAUGACAUGAAUGGUUCGUUUGAAGACUCACUAGCUUAUAGAAAUGUGAACAAAGAAGGUAGACACAGUUGAGAGAGGGAAAUGAGAAGAGAAAGUAAGACAGCUACUUUCUUUAUUUAACCUGGGUGACUUUUUUUUUAAAU
rnacentral:misc_RNA from 1 species